GAUGAACGCUGGCGGCGUGCCUAAUACAUGCAAGUCGAGCGAACAGAUGAGGAGCUUGCUCCUCUGACGUUAGCGGCGGACGGGUGAGUAACACGUGGAUAACCUACCUAUAAGACUGGGAUAACUUCGGGAAACCGGAGCUAAUACCGGAUAAUAUAUUGAACCGCAUGGUUCAAUAGUGAAAGACGGUUUUGCUGUCACUUAUAGAUGGAUCCGCGCCGCAUUAGCUAGUUGGUAAGGUAACGGCUUACCAAGGCAACGAUGCGUAGCCGACCUGAGAGGGUGAUCGGCCACACUGGAACUGAGACACGGUCCAGACUCCUACGGGAAGCAGCAGUAGGGAAUCUUCCGCAAUGGGCGAAAGCCUGACGGAACAACGCCGCGUGAGUGAUGAAGGUCUUCGGAUCGUAAAACUCUGUUAUUAGGGAAGAAAAAAUGUGUAAGUCACUAUGCACGUCUUGACGGUACCUAAUCAGAAAGCCACGGCUAACUACGUG
rnacentral:rRNA from 1 species